rnacentral:rRNA from 1 species
UACGUAGGGUGCGAGCGUUGUCCGGAAUUAUUGGGCGUAAAGGGCUCGUAGGCGGUUUGUCGCGUCGGGAGUGAAAACCAGGUGCUUAACACCUGGCUUGCUUUCGAUACGGGCAGACUAGAGGUAUGCAGGGGAGAAUGGAAUUCCCGGUGUAGCGGUGAAAUGCGCAGAUAUCGGGAGGAACACCGGUGGCGAAGGCGGGUCUCUGGGCAGUAACUGACGCUGAGGAGCGAAAGCGUGGGGAGCGAACAGG